AGAAUCAACGCUGGCGGCGUGCCUAACACAUGCAAGUCGCACGAGAAAGUGGAGCAAUCCGUGAGUAAAGUGGCGCACGGGUGAGUAACACGUGAAUUAUCUACCUCCGAGUGGGGAAUAACUGAGAGAAAUCUUAGCUAAUACCGCAUAACACUUACGAGUCAAAGCAGCAAUGCGCUUGGAGAGGAGUUCGCGGCCGAUUAGUUAGUUGGCGGGGUAAUGGCCCACCAAGACGAUGAUCGGUA
rnacentral:rRNA from 1 species